GGGGUGCAGCAGGCGCGAAACCUCUGCAAUAGGCGAAAGCUUGACAGGGUUAUUCUGAGUGAUUUCCGUUAAGGAAAUCUUUUGGCACCUCUAAAAAUGGUGCAGAAUAAGGGGUGGGCAAGCCUGGUGCCAGCCGCCGCGGUAAUACCAGCACCCCGAGUGGUCGGGACGAUUAUUGGGCCUAAAGCAUCCGUAGCCGGUUCUACAAGUCUUCCGUUAAAUCCACCUGCUCAACAGUUGGGCUGCGGGGGAUACUACAGCGCUAGGAGGCGGGAGAGGCAAGCGGUACUUAAUGGGUAGGGGUAAAACCCAUUGAUCCAUUGAAGACCACCAGUGGCGAAGGCGGCUUGCCAGAACGCGCUCGACGGUGAGGGAUGAAAGCUGGGGGAGCAAACCGGAUUAGAUACCCGGGUAGUCCCAGCUGUAAACGAUGCAGACUCGGUGAUGAAUAGGCUUCGUGCCUUUUCGGUGCCGCAGGGAAGCCGUUAAGUCUGCCGCCUGGGGAGUACGGUCGCAAGACUGAAACUUAAAGGAAUGGCGGGGGAGCAC
rnacentral:rRNA from 1 species